UAACAUCCAUUCUUGAGACCAAUGUAGCCUCCCUACUGUUUGCUGUGGUCACUAUUGUUGUCCUGGUUCCAGUGAAAUUGCUGAGUGAACGCUACCGCCAUAAGUUGCCUUUUCCAAUUCCUGUCCACAUCAUUAUUGUGAUCGUGGCCACAGCUAUUUCAGGUUCUCUCAAUCUUCCAGAGAUUUACCAUAUGGAUGUAGUGGGAGAAGUCCCUUUGGGGAUUCAAGCACCUGUGUUGCCACAAGUGAGUAUGUGGAGCGACAUGUUGGGUCCUGC